UCGCCUGUUUAACAAAAACAUGUCUUUUUGAAAUUUUUUUAAAGUCUAGCCUGCCCACUGAAUAAUUUUAAAUGGCCGCAGUAUACUAACUGUGCAAAGGUAGCAUAAUCAUUAGUCUUUUAAUUGAAGGCUGGUAUGAAUGGUUGGACGAGAUAUUAACUGUUAAAUAAAAAUUUAUAAUAGAAUUUUAUUUUUUAGUCAAAAAGCUAAAAUAAAAUUAAAAGACGAGAAGACCCUAUAAAUCUUUAUAUAUAGAUUAUUAGAAUUUUGUAGAUUAUUUUUGUUAUAAUAAUUAAUUAUAUUUUAUUGGGGUGAUAUUAAAAUUUAAUAAACUUUUAAUUUUUGAAAUCAUUAAUUUAUGAAUAGUUGAUCCGUUAAUAACGAUUAAAAAAAUAAGUUACUUUAGGGAUAACAGCGUAAUUUUUUUGGAGAGUUCAUAUCGAUAAAAAAGAUUGCGACCUCGAUGUUGGAUUAAGAUAUAAUUUUAGGUGUAGCCGCUUAAAUUUUAAGUCUGUUCGACUUUUAAAUUCUUACGUGAUCUGAGUUCAGACCGGA
rnacentral:rRNA from 1 species